GACGUAGGGCGCGAGCGUUGUCCGGAUUUAUUGGGCGUAAAGAGCUCGUAGGCGGCUUGUCGCGUCGUUCGUGAAAACUCACAGCUCAACUGUGAGCUUGCGGUCGAUACGGGCAGGCUAGAGUUCGGUAGGGGAGACUGGAAUUCCUGGUGUAGCGGUGAAAUGCGCAGAUAUCAGGAGGAACACCGGUGGCGAAGGCGGGUCUCUGGGCCGAUACCGACGCUGAGGAGCGAAAGCGUGGGGAGCGAACAGG
rnacentral:rRNA from 1 species